CAACGCCGCGUGGAGGAUGAAGUCUCUUUGGGACGUAAACUCCUUUCGACAGGGACGAUAAUGACGGUACCUGUAGAAGAAGCCCCGGCUAACUUCGUGC
rnacentral:rRNA from 1 species